rnacentral:tRNA from 1 species
GCGGGUUUAGCUCAGUUGGGAGAGCGUCAGACUGAAGAUCUGAAGGUCCUGUGUUCGAUCCACAGAAAUCGCA